ensembl:lncRNA
AUGUUUCAUUUGUCUCGUGCAGGUAGAAGCAGAUUGAGUGGAGCACCUGGACCUCCUGGUCCACCUGGACCUCCUGGAAUCCCCGGAAGCUUCUCAGGCUCAAUCGAUGACAUCUCCACCAGAAUCAUUGCAUACAUUCAACGUUCAGGCUCAGGCUUCAGCCUUGGCGUUCAGGGUCCUCCAGGACCUCCUGGUCCUCCUGGACCUAGCUCUGGCUCUGGAUCCCUGACGGUCAAUGCUCUCAUCACCAUGCUUCAGAGAGACGACGUGAGGAGAUAUUUGACAGGACCACCAGGGCCACAAGGACCACCGGGACCACCAGGGUCAUCAGUAGGAUUUUCAGCCACUUACAACGUGGAGGAGGUUGCCAGAUAUGUCUUUAAUAUCAUGAAUGACAGAGGGAUUGCUCGAGGUCUGCCUGGGCCACCAGGUCCUCCUGGGCCUGCUGGGCCUUCUGGUGGAUCAAGCUCUGGCUACGCGACCGCUACGAUCGACUAUACUGCGCUGAUGAGAAGUAAAUUAUUCGAUUUUUUCAUCAACAGGUCUUUUUACUGCUGCAACAACGGUGAAACUUUGUCCCUUACGCUUCAUCUUACUCGUAUCUUCCUCUUCUUAGAUCCAGAAUUCCGCUCAUGGAUGAGCUCUUCGGUAAAACAGGGUGCUCCUGGUCCUGCGGGUUCCCCAGGGCUGCCUGGCCCUCCUGGUCCUCAGGGACCACCGGGAGUCUCCUCUGCCACUGUGUACGGGUCGGGAGGUCGUGGCCACAGCUUGGAGGAAAUCCAACGCUACCUGCAGGGCUCUGGGUUCAGAGGUCUUCAGGGUCCUCCUGGCCCUCAAGGUCCACCGGGACCACAGGGUCCAUCAGGUGGUUACAGUGGAUCAGUUUCCUACAGUGGAAACUUCCCUCGAGAGACAAUCCGCGCUGAAGUCCAGGAGUAUCUGACCAGUGACAAUGUUCGUCGCACCAUCAUCGGACCACCAGGGCCUCCAGGACCAAGAGGUCAGAAAGGAGAGCGUGGAGAGCCGGGUUACGUCCAGGGCUACGCGCAGAGCCAGAGCUACUCUCAGGGCAGCUCUCAGGGCAGCUCUCGCUACGGCACCGAGCGCAGAGACAUCGACAUCAGCAGGCUCACUGAGACGCUGGACUACUCCAACGUCGCCAUGAAGGUUACAGACUACAUCAAGAAUCAAGGCCUGCUGCAGGACUAUAUGGUUGAGGGUCCCUGGAAGGCGAACGUGAGAGCGAUUCAAGGCCCCCCUGGUCCACCCGGACCUCCCGGACCAGCCGGUCAGAGCCGUGUCAUCGGCGCCUACGGCAACGUCACAGCUGACCUCAUGGCCUUCUUCAGAACUUACGGUACCAUCGCCGGCCCGCCAGGAGGCCCCGGACCAAGGGGAGAGAGAGGGUACCCAGGACCCAAAGGAGACAAGGGUGAUCCAGGACGUCCAGGUUUACCAGGACUCCCUGGAACAUACACGGUCCAGAUCCCACACAGGGUGCAGAAGAGGGAUGCAGAGAAUAAAGAGGUCGUUCAGAAUAAAGUGGCUGGUCGUCGUAAGAAGCUCCGUCGCCAUGCCAACGGUGGCUAA